GUUGCUGGGGAGAGGGGUGGGGACUUUUCGAAUUAGUUCUGUGCUAAAAGGCUUGGCUGUGGCCUAACCAGAGGCGUUUAAAUGUCAGAGGCUUCUUAGGGCAGGUAGCUCUGGUGUGGGGUCUUUUGUUCCCUGUAACUCAUUUAGGGGCCCUGUUUUGGGAGCCGCAGCAGUGUCAGCAAAGGAAGAGAUGGUGAGAAAGGCCUUGCUAUGGGCCAUGGUAGGAAACAGCCCAGGAGCACAGCAAAGGGGCUGACCAAACUGAUCUUAUCUGCUUGGUACAGGGUCCUUGUGCUGGCACCGAGAGUGGAGGCUCGGUUUGGGUUCCCUUACUGACCCAACUGGGACGGUGGUGUGAAGACCCCAGAGUCAAAGGCCGGAGGGCCCCCAAGGCCAGAAAUGUGGGCUGAAGCUCUGGCAUAAUGUUGUCAGAGUACUGGUGUGUGUUGGACUGCAUUUACCCUGAAAGAAGAAAGACAGAAAGCAGCAGACCACUGCAGGACAGGAGAGACUGUUGGCAGAGCCUGCCAAAGGAGAAGAUGCAGCUGUGCCAUGCCUAGCCACGAGGAGAUGUGUCUGUGGACCAUGAUGACAGCCAGUUGGAAAGCUAACCCCAGUCCUGCCCUGCUACAACAGGCCCUGUGGCACACCCAGUGCAGGAUAGGAAUAAGUCCUAGCCACAAACCCAGGCCGGACCAAGGAGUCAGAUCCCUAGCUGGAGAGAACUUUGGCAUCCACAGCCAAUGCAUCAGCCAGGCUGUCCAGGACAGGACCUUUAUGGACUACUGACAGGCUGGCCAACUGGAGGAAGAGGAAAAGACGACUCUGGAUGAGAUGUCGUCUGAGGUUCUGGCAGAGUCACAGAAGAGAGCAAGGCUUGUUGAGGGGCGAAGGCUGUCCAUGAGGUCCCAGACGGAGAAAUAAAGCUGUUGCAGGUGACUGUGGCAGUGGCCAAAGAGAGGAUGGCUGUGGCUGAGGUCAGCAUCCCUGUGGUGAAGGAGAGCAAGGAGGGGGAGGGAGAGAUGCAGAAUCAACUUAUGGAUGCUAUCCUGAGCCAGAAUGCGAAACAUGCUCCUGCUGUGACAGCAGUCCCCACAGUCCUGUAAGUUUUUGGGGCCCAGCCAUGUCCUUCAGCUUCUGGACAAUGCUGGAUACUGGUUCCAGCAGCAACUUGUAACAUCUGCAUCCCCACAGCAGCUUUCCCAGCUGCUCCCAUUCACCUCUCAGACCCAGCUUCCGGGCACCGUGAACACUUGCGUCUAGGAGCCCGGCUCUUUAGAGCUCUGCAAUGUUCCUGAGAAUUUUGGGCCGAGGCACUCGGCCCCAGAACCCUCUGGAUAGGAGUCACUGGCAAGGUGUACGCUCACCUUCAACUUUAUGCAACCCCUCCUCCCCAACCUGAUAGUAUUUAACACAUUCUAACUGUACGUUGAGGUUUUUUGUCUGCACUGUUGCAGUAAUAAAGGUUCAUGUGUAGCUGGUUACUUCAGAAGAUUGGUUAGUUUUAAAUGUAUUUCCAAAUACAAAGGCAGUGUUUUUUUUUUUCCAUUGGUUUCAUUAAAACUUUAUUAUUAUUUUUUUAUUGUUUCAUAAUAAAACUGUUUACAAUACAUCCAUUGUGAGUCAUUGAAUUUUAACACAGAAAAUCUGUUAAAUAAGCUGAAAUAAUUCAUAGGGCUUUAACAGAAGCACAUAGGGGACAUGAAACUCCAACCACCUACACACUCUCACUGUGUUCGCACUGUCUGCAUCCCAACAACCCCCCGUGGGGGCUAAUGUGAUCAGGCAUCUGACUCAAAAUACAAACAGCAGGCAUCCCUGACAGCAUUCCCAGGGGCAUCUGUGUUCUCUGUGGGAUGCCCUGCUGUCGGCUCCAACAUCUGAGCAAGUCUCUGCACCUCUACUUCUGCCUUGCUCUCAUAAGUCUGGCAAAAUACAACAUGCAGUCAUAAUGGUUGGAAAGCGUGUUUGGUUUUGGGGUUUUUUUUUCCCUGCUGUUUCCAACCUACUUCAUAAACAGAGCCAUCUGCCUUUCAGAGGGCCAGAUCCACAUUCAACUACCAUUCUGUAACUAGAGCGAAGGUGGUUGCUUGGCACUCUCCCAGACAGAGGUUGUUGGUCCAAUAAAAGAGAUCCUGUUAUCCACUUUUUUGUCUCUCUGAUAUCCUGGGACUAACAUGGCUACCGCACCCCUGGGUCUGCAACGACUCAAGUGCUAGCUAAAAUGUUCCUUCUAUCCAAGCUGCUUGUAUGGCUUCACAAGCCAGGGCACCAAGGAUAAAAAUCAGUCUCCCAGGAAAAACCAGACCAAGCUCUGUACCAUUUAAUGUCUACAGGGCUCCUGGAGGCAAACAGUCAUUUCUCUAGUAA